CGAGAUAUAGCAUAUACUAAUGCCUUUCACUUACAAUGAAAAUAAGGCUUCUAUAGCCUUUCUCGA
rnacentral:tRNA from 1 species